rnacentral:rRNA from 1 species
CGGAGCUUGCUCUGUGGGAUCAGUGGCGAACGGGUGAGUAACACGUGAGCAACCUGCCCCUGACUCUGGGAUAAGCGCUGGAAACGGCGUCUAAUACUGGAUAUGUGACGUGAUCGCAUGGUCUGCGUCUGGAAAGAAUUUCGGUUGGGGAUGGGCUCGCGGCCUAUCAGCUUGUUGGUGAGGUAAUGGCUCACCAAGGCGUCGACGGGUAGCCGGCCUGAGAGGGUGACCGGCCACACUGGGACUGAGACACGGCCCAGACUCCUACGGGAGGCAGCAGUGGGGAAUAUUGCACAAUGGGCGCAAGCCUGAUGCAGCAACGCCGCGUGAGGGAUGACGGCCUUCGGGUUGUAAACCUCUUUUAGCAGGGAAGAAGCGAAAGUGACGGUACCUGCAGAAAAAGCGCCGGCUAACUACGUGCCAGCAGCCGCGGUAAUACGUAGGGCGCAAGCGUUAUCCGGAAUUAUUGGGCGUAAAGAGCUCGUAGGCGGUUUGUCGCGUCUGCUGUGAAAUCCGGAGGCUCAACCUCCGGCCUGCAGUGGGUACGGGCAGACUAGAGUGCGGUAGGGGAGAUUGGAAUUCCUGGUGUAGCGGUGGAAUGCGCAGAUAUCAGGAGGAACACCGAUGGCGAAGGCAGAUCUCUGGGCCGUAACUGACGCUGAGGAGCGAAAGGGUGGGGAGCAAACAGGCUUAGAUACCCUGGUAGUCCACCCCGUAAACGUUGGGAACUAGUUGUGGGGUCCAUUCCACGGAUUCCGUGACGCAGCUAACGCAUUAAGUUCCCCGCCUGGGGAGUACGGCCGCAAGGCUAAAACUCAAAGGAAUUGACGGGGACCCGCACAAGCGGCGGAGCAUGCGGAUUAAUUCGAUGCAACGCGAAGAACCUUACCAAGGCUUGACAUAUACGAGAACGGGCC